GAAAAAGGCACCAGUGAAUUGCGCCUCUUCUCUCUUCCCAUAACCGCUUCCCAAGCACUCCAAUCCCUAAAUUUAUCCCCAAAUUCCUUCUUUCUCUGCAACUUCGCAUCUACUUCGACGAUUUCAUCCCAUCCCUCCCCCAUGACGACCUACUCAACGCCGCUCAGAUUUAUUUCGUCCUCCCUACCGCCAAGCUUUAGUAUCGCCUCGCCGCAUUCGACAUGGCGGCGUUGGCCAUCGAGGCCAUCCUGGCGCUCGACCAAAUCGGCCGCCCAAAAAGAAAGCUCAGAUCUACCCUACUUGGACGGCGAUGGAGGAUCCGCAGUCGAAUCACACUGUUAAUCACGGCUGAGCUCGAACGCGGCCACUGUGAAGUAGGGAACGAACUCCGCCUGAUGAGGAGGUUUUGACGGAGAAGGUGAAAUUGUUGGCAGAGAGAAAGAGAGGAGAUUUCAGGCUGCGGCGGCAACUUCGCCGGAGAAGCUGCCUCGCCAGGAAUUUCAGGCGGCGGCGGCAGAGGCGACGACGACGGAGGCGGAGGCGGUGACCGGCGACUGUCGAGAGAGAGAAGAAAUGCAACUGUGGAUUGGGAGAUGAAAGGAGAGAGAGAGCGAGCGAGAGAAGUGAGGGAGUAUUUUUGACUGGCCAUUUUUUAAAUUUAAAGUGAAGGUAUUUGUACUUUACACAAAAACUGGCCAAUUUUUUAUGUUUAUUAUUUCAUUAGGCCAAAAUUUAAUUUACUAUAUGAAAGUGGCUAUAUUUAUAUAUUAACACAUUAUUAAAACCUAAAUAUGAAUUAAUAAAUCUUAACUAACAUUCUAACUAACCUUAAUUAACUAUCAUUUAUUAUUCUGGACAAUUUUUUUGACUUUGAGGUCACUUGUUACUAAGGACNAAUUAUAUCUAGUAACAUUACAUAGGGACAAUUCUUCAAAAAUUAUGCCAGUAUUAGAACAUUUUGUUGUGAUGUGCCACCUAAUUAUUUGAUAAUUAAAAAUUUGAAUUAAAUUAAAUUUCUAUUGUAAAUUAAUAAGAGUGGAUUUUUAAAAUGGCCACUUUGAAAUAGUAAACUUAAAAAUUGUCCACUAAAAUAAAAACAUAAAAAAAUGGCCACUGUUACCAAAAUACCCUUCCACAUUAAAAUUAAAAAAUGGCCACUUUACAUCACCCCUUUAAAAACCAAAAUCCCGCAAUUCACAACCAGUCGAAUUGUCAACCAGAAAUUUUUGUUUGUGAAUUCACAACUAGUCGAAUUCACAGCCAAAAUUUAAUUCACAACCAGUCGAAUUCACAACCAAAAAUUAAUUCACAACUAGUAAUUUUUGGUUGUGAAUUCACAACAAACGAAUUCACAACCAAAAUUUAAUUCACAACCAGAAUUUAUUUUGGUUGUGAAUUCAAGUAGUUGUGAAUUUGGGUUUUAAAGUUUGAAUUCACAAUUAAAAUUAGAAUUUAUUUUGGUUGUAAAUUCAAAAAUAUUAAGUUGUGAAUUUGGAGUUUUAAAGUUUGAAUUCACAAUAAAACUAAAAUUUAUUUUGAUUGUGAAUUCGAGUUUUAGUUGUGAAUUCAUAGUUGUGGUUGUGAAUUCAAGAAUAUUCAGUUGUGAAUUCAUAGAUGUGGUUGUGAAUUCAAAAAACAUUAAGUUGUGAAUUCAUAGACGUGGUCGUGAAAUUCAAGAAAAUUAAGUUGUGAAUUUAUCAAUUCUGUUGUGAAUUCAAGAACAAUAAAAAAAAAUAACAAGAAAUUUAGUAUGCUUACUCAUAAAAAUUCAACCAAUGAGCAUAAGAGAGAGAGAUCUAAGCUACAUAAAUUCUACAUAUCUCUAAAGGACAUUCCCCAAAAUUGGCAGAAAAUGACAACAGCAGCUCCACGAUUGUGAAAUGCACACCUCCCCCAUAAACUCAUUAUUGCAGCAAGGAAUCAAGGAAAAAGGCAUCAAGGAAAAGUUACACAAGGAAAAAGGCACCAGUGAAUUGCGCCUCUUCUCUCUUCCCAUAACCGCUUCCCAAGCACUCCAAUCCCUAAAUUUAUCCCCAAAUUCCUUCUUUCUCUGCAACUUCGCAUCUACUUCGACGAUUUCAUCCCAUCCCUCCCCCAUGACGACCUACUCAACGCCGCUCAGAUUUAUUUCGUCCUCCCUACCGCCAAGCUUUAGUAUCGCCUCGCCGCAUUCGACAUGGCGGCGUUGGCCAUCGAGGCCAUCCUGGCGCUCGACCAAAUCGGCCGCCCAAAAAGAAAGCUCAGAUCUACCCUACUUGGACGGCGAUGGAGGAUCCGCAGUCGAAUCACAUCGUUAAUCACGGCUGAGCUCGAACGCGGCCACUGUGAAGUAGGGAACGAACUCCGUCUGAUGAGGAGGUUUUGACGGAGAAGGUGAAAUUGUU
rnacentral:lncRNA from 1 species